GAUGAACGCUAGCGGCAGGCCUAACACAUGCAAGUCGAGGGGUAGAAGUUUUCGGACUUUGAGACCGGCGCACGGGUGCGUAACGCGUAUGCAAUCUACCUUGUACUGGGGGAUAGCCCAGAGAAAUUUGGAUUAAUACCCCAUAGUAUUUUCGGUUGGCAUCAACUGAUUAUUAAAGUUUUUCGGUACAAGAUGAGCAUGCGUCCCAUUAGCUAGUUGGUAUGGUAACGGCAUACCAAGGCUACGAUGGGUAGGGGUCCUGAGAGGGAGAUCCCCCACACUGGUACUGAGACACGGACCAGACUCCUACGGGAGGCAGCAGUGAGGAAUAUUGGUCAAUGGUCGCAAGACUGAACCAGCCAUGCCGCGUGCAGGAUGAAGCAUCUAUGGUGUGUAAACUGCUUUUGUACGGGAAGAAACACUGCUACGUGUAGCAGCUUGACGGUACCGUAAGAAUAAGGAUCGGCUAGCUCCGUGCCAGCCGCCGCCGUAAAAC
rnacentral:rRNA from 1 species